rnacentral:rRNA from 1 species
GACGAACGCUGGCGGCGCGCUUAACACAUGCAAGUCGAGCGAAGCGGCGGACGGGUGAGUAACACGUGAGUAACCUGCCUUUUACACAGGGAUAGCCUCGGGAAACCGGGAUUAAAACCUGAUGGUAAAAGAUGGACUCGCGUCCCAUUAGCUAGUUGGUGAGGUAACGGCCCACCAAGGCAACGAUGGGUAGCCGGCCUGAGAGGGUGAACGGCAACAUUGGAACUGAGAAACGGUCCAAACUCUACGGGAGGCAGCAGUGGGGAAUAUUGCACAAUGGGGGAAACCCUGAUGCAGCGACGCCGCGUGGGGGAUGAAGGCUUUCGGGUUGUAAACCUCUUUCGCUAUCGAACGGGUAGGUAGAGAAGAAGCGCCGGCUAACUACGUGCCAGCAGCCGCGGUAAUAC